AGAUAAAAGUCCUAGUGGGGCUGGGAGAGCACACUCUUUCUUCUGGUGGGGAUUUUGACAGCAGCAAGCAAAUGCGUCAGGCUUCUGCCUGGUGAUUUUUCUGAACAAACGAAAACUGGGAGCCAUGCCUUAGUGAGGGCAGGGUCUGCACUACCUGCCCACUCAGUCCUCCGAGGUGGCCAGCAGCAUUGUUCAUGCAUUACUUUCAACUUGGCAGGCCCCCAUGCUGAGCACAGCACAUGGCCUCUAAUCGUGUGCGUCCCUCCUUUGGACUCUCUUGAGCUUCUCCAUAUCCUUCCUGAAGUGUGGCAUCCAGAACUGGACAAAGUACUCCAAUUGCGGUAUCACCAAGGAUGAGCAGAAUGAGAGGAUGACAUCUUGAGCCUUGCUUGAGAUGCCUCGGUAGAUGCAUACCAGUGUUUGAUUAGCUCUGCCAGCUACAGCAUCGCAUUGGUGGCUCAUGUUCAUUUUGUUGUCCAUCACAACACCCAGGUCUCAUUCACUUGUGGUGCUGAGCCUGUAAAUGUGUUAUGGAUUUUUUCUCCCCGGAUGAAGUACUUUACAUUUCUCCAUAUUAAAUGACAUCAGGUAGAGGCCUGCCAACCAUCUUUUGAGCUAAGUCAACUUAACUAAUGUGAUUCAAGAUAAUACAUCUCAGACGUGUAUUAUCUUACACUGUAUUUAAGUUGACUCUGCUCCACAUACUGCCUGCUAGUUAAGUUGACUUAAAAAAGCUAAGUUGGCUUAACUGUCAGAAAGUUAGUAUAUGUGUACUAUGAUUGCCAAUAUGCCUUGCUUUUCAUAAGACUGCCUGGCUCUCUGCUUGCUGCUGUUUGUGCUCCUGCAAGCCACAAGGCAGGGGGAGAGGCAACAACCUCAGGUGAAUAUUUUUCAUGUUGUGCCUUUGCACUGCUCCUGGUUAAAAAGGACCCUCAAGUGCUGAAUCUUCUUUCAGUCCUUAAAGUGGCAACUAGGAAGGCUGAGGGGAGCAGCUACCUGCCACCAACUUAACCCAAUUCCCUUGGAAUCCAGUAGACUUAUUCAUUUGGAAGUGGAAGCACAGGGCAAAAGUAGCAGAUGACAACACUCAGGGCCAGGUUUCCCAAGGAAGCCAGGAUGCCUAGUGCAUGUGCUGUGCAGGAACUCUGGCCAUCAGCUUCCUAGGAAAAUGUAAAAGAGGAGAGGAAAUUAGGCAAAAGAGGAGACAGAGACCUAGUAUUGCUGCAGAAAAGACCUGGGGGAUUCUGCUGAAAGAGAAACAAACAGAAGCAGCCAAGCUUGAGGGGGAGGAGAAGCAAACUGGGUUAAGGGUUUUGGAAAAGACCUCAGUCAGUGAUUGGUGCCAGAGUUCACAGCAAACAAAGAGAAAUAUUUUCCUAUUCAGUUUGGGCCAAAUUCUUCUCAAAACCUAGUCUUCAAUUUCUGAGACACACGCUCAUCACUUCUAACAUGGCUGAACGAUGUCACCUACAGGCUGGCCAGAGCUAUUCGCCACAAAGUGCAAGCAGCCAAAAGCAGCACUGUGAUGGUUUUCGCUUUCAGCCACAGCACAAGCAUUAUGGAACACAACCAUCCUACUAUCCGGGAAAGUGCUAGAGAAGAAAGCCUGCUUGUUUAGAAAAGCUUAUGCGAGAGAUCCAAGACAGAUGCAGUCACAGCUGAAACUGCUGUUCUGAAAAGCACUUUGAUGUUGGACACAUUUUGUAUUCCAUGGAAAUAAAUAAUUCAUUUCUGCUCUAGAAAUAUGUAUUUCACUAUUGAAAAAUAACACUAUUUAUUUCCAGUAUGGGAAGUCACCCCCUGGGCGCUAUAAAUAUUUACAUAAAGCCAUGCAAAAAAUAUGCUGGUAAUUUAG